GACGAACGCUGGCGGCGUGCUUAACACAUGCAAGUCGAACGGAAAGGCCCUGCUUUUGUGGGGUGCUCGAGUGGCGAACGGGUGAGUAACACGUGAGUAACCUGCCCUUGACUUUGGGAUAACUUCAGGAAACUGGGGCUAAUACCGGAUAGGAGCUCCUGCUGCAUGGUGGGGGUUGGAAAGUUUCGGCGGUUGGGGAUGGACUCGCGGCUUAUCAGCUUGUUGGUGGGGUAGUGGCUUACCAAGGCUUUGACGGGUAGCCGGCCUGAGAGGGUGACCGGCCACAUUGGGACUGAGAUACGGCCCAGACUCCUACGGGAGGCAGCAGUGGGGAAUAUUGCACAAUGGGCGGAAGCCUGAUGCAGCAACGCCGCGUGCGGGAUGACGGCCUUCGGGUUGUAAACCGCUUUCGCCUGUGACGAAGCGUGAGUGACGGUAAUGGGUAAAGAAGCACCGGCUAACUACGUGCCAGCAGCCGCGGUGAUACGUAGGGUGCGAGCGUUGUCCGGAUUUAUUGGGCGUAAAGGGCUCGUAGGUGGUUGAUCGCGUCGGAAGUGUAAUCUUGGGGCUUAACCCUGAGCGUGCUUUCGAUACGGGUUGACUUGAGGAAGGUAGGGGAGAAUGGAAUUCCUGGUGGAGCGGUGGAAUGCGCAGAUAUCAGGAGGAACACCAGUGGCGAAGGCGGUUCUCUGGGCCUUUCCUGACGCUGAGGAGCGAAAGCGUGGGGAGCGAACAGGCUUAGAUACCCUGGUAGUCCACGCUGUAAACGGUGGGUACUAGGUGUGGGGUCCAUUCCACGGGUUCCGUGCCGUAGCUAACGCUUUAAGUACCCCGCCUGGGGAGUACGGCCGCAAGGCUAAAACUCAAAGGAAUUGACGGGGCCCCGCACAAGCGGCGGAGCAUGCGGAUUAAUUCGAUGCAACGCGUAGAACCUUACCUGGGUUUGACAUGGAUCGGGAGUGCUCAGAGAUGGGUGUGCCUCUUUUGGGGUCGGUUCACAGGUGGUGCAUGGCUGUCGUCAACUCGUGUCGUGAGAUGUUGGGUUAAGUCCCGCAACGAGCGCAACCCUUGUUCACUGUUGCCAGCACGUUAUGGUGGGGACUCAGUGGAGACCGCCGGGGUCAACUCGGAGGAAGGUGGGGAUGACGUCAAGUCAUCAUGCCCCUUAUGUCCAGGGCUUCACGCAUGCUACAAUGGCUGGUACAGAGAGUGGCGAGCCUGUGAGGGUGAGCGAAUCUCGGAAAGCCGGUCUCAGUUCGGAUUGGGGUCUGCAACUCGACCUCAUGAAGUCGGAGUCGCUAGUAAUCGCAGAUCAGCAACGCUGCGGUGAAUACGUUCCCGGGGCU
rnacentral:rRNA from 1 species